AAGACCAGUAUUCAGAUCCUCUCUCUGUUUCAGACGCUGUCGGAGUGUGCACUCACGCUGAAGAUGAUUCAUCUCAAAAGGGGGCCGGAGUUCAUCCAGUUCUUGCAGCAGGACUAUUUGCCCUCGCUGCAGGUCUCACCAGAGAUCUCCCAGGAACUCUGUCAAGUUCUCCAGCAGCCGGACGUCAAAGUCCUGAAAAACUACAUCAAGGCGUUCUUCCAGCGAGCCAAGCUGUAGGAAAUGAAACAGGAAGUUCACCGAGGACACAGGAAGUGGUCGUACAUGCCACUUAACAACCAAUUAAAGGGACCUUAGCAUAGGAGCUGCUUUUGCACUUAAAAAAAGUAAAAUGCGUAACGGAGUCGGUCUGAGUCGCGUCGUGGACCGGAGCUCGGCGGGCGGACUGAAUCCCGCCGGUCGCCGCGGAGACGAGCUGUCCUCCAGGACCGAAGUAGCUCGGCCGGGAUCAGAAGAGUCGAACGGGAAAGGACUUUUAGACGAAAACCCGGAUCUGCGGGAGCGGACGCCGCCUGGAAGACGUCUGGUAAUUACCCAGAAACCACCUGGACACCUGAAGCUCUGUUCCAACCUUCACGUUAGGAAACUACGGAAGCCCGGUCCCGCCAACGUGAUGGAAAAGAUCCUGCAGGUCGUUACAAUGAGAAACCUUUCAAAGUAAGAGCUCAUAGUAUCUUUAAAUAGUGGUGUAACAUCACUCAAAAUAAUGAUGUAGUAUCUCUAAAUAGUGACUUCAGUGACUUAAUAUCUCUAAUUAGUGAGCUAGUAUCUCUAGUGACGUAGCAUCUCUAAAUACUGACGUAGUAUCUCUGAAUACUGACUAGCGUCACUCUAAAAAACGAGUUAAUAUCUCAGUAUUUCUAAUUAUCUCUAGUGACGUAGUAUCUCUAUAUAGUGACUUCA